rnacentral:rRNA from 1 species
AGUGAAUAGAUACCCUGGUAGUCCUAGCCGUAAACGAUACUCGCUAGGUGUCGGCCACGGUGCGACCGUUGUCGGUGCCGUAGGGAAAGCCGUGAAGCGAGCCACCUGGGAAGUACGGCCGCAAGGCUGAAACUUAAAGGAAUUGGCGGGGGAGCACCACAACGGGUGGAGCUUGCGGUUUAAAUUGGAUUCAACGCCGGAAAUCUUACCGGGACCGACAGCAACAUGAAGGCCAGGCUGAAGACUUUGCCGGAUUAGCUGAGAGGUGGUGCAUGGCCGUCGUCAGUUCGUACUGUGAAGCAUCCUGUUAAGUCAGGCAACAAGCGAGACCCACGCCCACAGUUGCCAGCGUACUCUCCGGAGUGACGGGUACACUGUGGGGACCGCCGCUGCUAAAGCGGAGGAAGGAAUGGGCAACGGUAGGUCAGUAUGCCCCGAAUAUCCCGGGCUACACGCGAGCUACAAUGGUUGGUACAAUGGGUAUCUACCCCGAAAGGGGAUGGAAAUCUCCUAAAGCCAAUCUUAGUUCGGAUUGA